rnacentral:pre_miRNA from 1 species
GUAGUAUUCCCUCCGUCCCAAAAUUCUUGUCUUACAUUUGUUUAGAUACGGAUGUAUCUAACACUAAAAUGUAACUAGAUACAUCCUUAUUUAGACAAAUUUAAGACAAGAAUUUUGGGACGGAGGGAGUACAAA